rnacentral:piRNA from 1 species
GGUUCAAGUGAAAUUCGAGUG